CUGCAAUUCUUCAUAUCUUUCUGUAACUGCACUGACAGUUUUGUGUUUCACUCUUAACUUUUCUAAACAUGGACAUCAUCAAACAUGGUCUCACCAGCUUGUUACUGUUUCUGUCCUGGAUGAAAGGUCUUACUGAUGGAAGUGAUGUCACCCAGACAGACAUACUGUGGGAGAAACAGGGUGAAGAUGCAACAAUGAGCUGCAGCCACACGAAGGGUGCUACCUAUAUCUACAUGUACUGGUACAGACAGCUGCCAGGAGAAACAAUGAAACUAAUCGUCUUCACAAGAAGCGGCAAUGAAGAUCAUGAUUUUGGAAAAUUCAGCAAAGAAAAAUUUGCAGCCACAAAGCCUGACGCUGAGAGAGGGACAUUCACAGUGAAGAAUCUGGAGCCAAAAGAUAAAGGCUUGUAUUUCUGUGCUGUGAGUCAACACAGUGAUACAGACACAUUCAACAGCUGAACAA